UCCACCGAUUGACUAAGGUUUCCAGAGGAAGGCUCGUCCGCUCUGGGUUAGUCGGGUCCUAAGCUGAGGCCGACAGGCGUAGGCGAUGGAUAACAGGUUGAUAUUCCUGUACCACCUAUAAUCGUUUUAAUCGAUGGGGGGACGCAGUAGGAUAGGCGAAGCGUGCGAUUGGAUUGCACGUCUAAGCAGUAAGGCUGAGUAUUAGGCAAAUCCGGUACUCGUUAAGGCUGAGCUGUGAUGGGGAGAAGACAUUGUGUCUUCGAGUCGUUGAUUUCACACUGCCGA
rnacentral:rRNA from 1 species